rnacentral:rRNA from 1 species
GGGUUGUGAGGUUAAGCGACUAAGCGUACACGGUGGAUGCCCUGGCAGUCAGAGGCGAUGAAGGACGUGCUAAUCUGCGAAAAGCGUCGGUAAGGUGAUAUGAACCGUUAUAGCCGGCGAUGUCCGAAUGGGGAAACCCAGUGCAAUUCGUUGCACUAUCGUUAACUGAAUACAUAGGUUAACGAGGCGAACCGGGGGAACUGAAACAUCUAAGUACCCCGAGGAAAAGAAAUCAACCGAGAUUCCCCCAGUAGCGGCGAGCGAACGGGGAGCAGCCCAGAGUCUGAAUCAGCUUGUGUGUUAGUGGAACGGUCUGGAAAGUCCGACGGUACAGGGUGAUAGUCCCGUACACCAAAAUGCACAGGUUGUGAACUCGAAGAGUAGGGCGGGACACGUGGUAUCCUGUCUGAAUAUGGGGGGACCAUCCUCCAAGGCUAAAUACUCCUGACUGACCGAUAGUGAACCAGUACCGUGAGGGAAAGGCGAAAAGAACCCCGGCGAGGGGAGUGAAAAAGAACCUGAAACCGUGUACGUACAAGCAGUGGGAGCACCUUCGGGUGUGACUGCGUACCUUUUGUAUAAUGGGUCAGCGACUUAUAUUCUGUAGCAAGGUUAACCGUAUAGGGGAGCCGCAGGGAAACCGAGUCUUAACUGGGCGUUAAGUUGCAGGGUAUAGACCCGAAACCCGGUGAUCUAGCCAUGGGCAGGUUGAAGGUUGGGUAACACUAACUGGAGGACCGAACCGACUAAUGUUGAAAAAUUAGCGGAUGACUUGUGGCUGGGGGUGAAAGGCCAAUCAAACCGGGAGAUAGCUGGUUCUCCCCGAAAGCUAUUUAGGUAGCGCCUCGUGAACUCAUCUUCGGGGGUAGAGCACUGUUUCGGCUAGGGGGUCAUCCCGACUUACCAACCCGAUGCAAACUACGAAUACCGAAGAAUGUUAUCACGGGAGACACACGGCGGGUGCUAACGUCCGUCGUGAAGAGGGAAACAACCCAGACCGCCAGCUAAGGUCCCAAAGUCAUGGUUAAGUGGGAAACGAUGUGGGAAGGCACAGACAGCCAGGAUGUUGGCUUAGAAGCAGCCAUCAUUUAAAGAAAGCGUAAUAGCUCACUGGUCGAGUCGGCCUGCGCGGAAGAUGUAACGGGGCUAAACCAUGCACCGAAGCUGCGGCAGCGACACUAUGUGUUGUUGGGUAGGGGAGCGUUCUGUAAGCCUGCGAAGGUGACCUGUGAGGGUUGCUGGAGGUAUCAGAAGUGCGAAUGCUGACAUAAGUAACGAUAAAGCGGGUGAAAAGCCCGCUCGCCGGAAGACCAAGGGUUCCUGUCCAACGUUAAUCGGGGCAGGGUGAGUCGACCCCUAAGGCGAGGCCGAAAGGCGUAGUCGAUGGGAAACAGGUUAAUAUUCCUGUACUUGGUGUUACUGCGAAGGGGGGACGGAGAAGGCUAUGUUAGCCGGGCGACGGUUGUCCCGGUUUAAGCAUGUAGGCUGGUUGUCCAGGCAAAUCCGGAUAAUCAAGGCUGAGGUGUGAUGACGAGGCACUACGGUGCUGAAGUAACAAAUGCCCUGCUUCCAGGAAAAGCCUCUAAGCAUCAGGUAACAUCAAAUCGUACCCCAAACCGACACAGGUGGUCAGGUAGAGAAUACCAAGGCGCUUGAGAGAACUCGGGUGAAGGAACUAGGCAAAAUGGUGCCGUAACUUCGGGAGAAGGCACGCUGGUGUGUAGGUGAAGUCCCUGCGGAUGGAGCUGAGACCAGUCGAAGAUACCAGCUGGCUGCAACUGUUUAUUAAAAACACAGCACUGUGCAAACACGAAAGUGGACGUAUACGGUGUGACGCCUGCCCGGUGCCGGAAGGUUAAUUGAUGGGGUUAUCCGUAAGGAGAAGCUCUUGAUCGAAGCCCCGGUAAACGGCGGCCGUAACUAUAACGGUCCUAAGGUAGCGAAAUUCCUUGUCGGGUAAGUUCCGACCUGCACGAAUGGCGUAAUGAUGGCCAGGCUGUCUCCACCCGAGACUCAGUGAAAUUGAACUCGCUGUGAAGAUGCAGUGUACCCGCGGCAAGACGGAAAGACCCCGUGAACCUUUACUAUAGCUUGACACUGAACAUUGAGCCUUGAUGUGUAGGAUAGGUGGGAGGCUUUGAAGCGUGGACGCCAGUCUGCGUGGAGCCAACCUUGAAAUACCACCCUUUAAUGUUUGAUGUUCUAACGUUGGCCCCUUAUCGGGGUUGCGGACAGUGUCUGGUGGGUAGUUUGACUGGGGCGGUCUCCUCCCAAAGCGUAACGGAGGAGCACGAAGGUUAGCUAAUCCUGGUCGGACAUCAGGAGGUUAGUGCAAUGGCAUAAGCUAGCUUGACUGCGAGCGUGACGGCGCGAGCAGGUGCGAAAGCAGGUCAUAGUGAUCCGGUGGUUCUGAAUGGAAGGGCCAUCGCUCAACGGAUAAAAGGUACUCCGGGGAUAACAGGCUGAUACCGCCCAAGAGUUCAUAUCGACGGCGGUGUUUGGCACCUCGAUGUCGGCUCAUCACAUCCUGGGGCUGAAGUAGGUCCCAAGGGUAUGGCUGUUCGCCAUUUAAAGUGGUACGCGAGCUGGGUUUAGAACGUCGUGAGACAGUUCGGUCCCUAUCUGCCGUGGGCGCUGGAGAAUUGAGGGGGGCUGCUCCUAGUACGAGAGGACCGGAGUGGACGCAUCACUGGUGUUCGGGUUGUCAUGCCAAUGGCACUGCCCGGUAGCUAAAUGCGGAAGAGAUAAGUGCUGAAAGCAUCUAAGCACGAAACUUGCCCCGAGAUGAGUUCUCCCUGAGACUUUAAGUCUCCUGAAGGAACGUUGAAGACGACGACGUUGAUAGGCCGGGUGUGUAAGCGCAGCGAUGCGUUGAGCUAACCGGUACUAAUGAACCGUGAGGCUUAACCUUACAACGCCGAAG